CUUAUCUUUUAAUAAAAUAUAAAAAUGAAAAUUCCUUGAAUGCCUAUAAACACGACACCCUCUCAUCCGCAUCUUAUUCUCAUUUCAAUUUGGCUUCUGUAUUUCUCUCCGUCUCAAUCCUUCAUCAAGAGGCACUUGAUUUGAACAUUUGGGCGUUCGUUUAUUUGGAGCAUCCUGUCUCAAUAGAUGAGACCCCUUUGAACAAAUGGACCCAAAAUACACAGCAGAAAUAUUAGAACAUUUGGAGAAGCAGAAUGACCUCCUUAUGGAUGCUUAUAGAUCAAUGUCGCAUGAAUUGCACAAACUUCAGGUUGAAGAAGAAAUGCUCAUGCACAAGUUCUAUGAAUUUACAAAAGCUGAGCGUCAAACUAUAAAGGAUGAUGACAAUAACAACAUUGAAAAUGAAAACAAAACUGGAGAGUCAAGCGAGUGAGUAGUUUGUGAGCAAAGGUGAUGUUUCAGAGUAAGAGUCCACCACUCCUUGUGACUAGUGUUGGACAAUAGUGCAGUUGUGAGGGUUUUAUGCAUAUUUGGUCUUCCUCAUGAUCCUUAAUGUAUUUGGAUAGAUUAUGCUUUUCAUGAGUAGCUUCUCUGGGGUA